rnacentral:lncRNA from 1 species
AGAGAAAGAGAAAGGGAAAAGCCAAAGAUCGUCGACGCUAUCUGAUAAUAAUUCUAAGGAGGAUGCUGGAGAUGGCAAGAAGGGAAAAGACAAAGGCGGUGCCAAGAAGAAGAAGAAUGAAAGCGAGUACAAGAAAGGGUUAAGACCUGUACUGUGGUUAACACCUGACUUCCCUCUUAAGACAGAAGAGCUUCUUCCGCUGCUCGAUAUAUUAGCCAAUAAGGUCAAAGCCGUGAGGAGGCUCAGAGAGCUCCUUACCACAAAACUUCCCACAGGAACAUUCCCUGUCAAGGUAAUAAUAUCUUUUGCCCUGUUGUGGAUUCCGUUUCAGACACAAUCUUAUAGAGUCUUGUCUUGCUUAUUGUGCAGAUUGCGAUCCCCAUUAUACCAACCGUCCGUGUACUCAUCACUUUUACUAAAUUUGAAGAGCUCCAACCAUCUGAGGAAUUCUCAACGCCUCCUACGAGCCCUGUUUUUCAUGACGCAAAGUCAUCAGAUAGUUCAUCUUCAGCGUCAUGGGUGUCGUGGAUGAAAGGUACUCGCGGUGGUGGCCAAUCAAGUGACGGAGACAGUAACCGGUACAAGGAUAGUGAAGUUGACCCUUUCAUGAUACCAUCAGAUUACAAAUGGGUCGACUCAGCUGAGAAGAAACGCAGAAUGAAAGCCAAGAAAGCUAGAAUCAGGAAGAACAGGAAACAGGGUGCUUCGAAACCUAGUUCCUCGAGUUCCCGUUCCAAUCAAGAACCGGAAUAAAAUAAUUGCCACCUUGAAGAACAGGGUAUCCCUUAGACGAGAGAAGGUUUGGUUGUGUUAUUGUUUGUAGUAAGCCAUGUUAUUUGUGAGAUUCUUAAGGAACACACGUUUGCUAUAUAAGAAACAGCCAUUUUGCUCUGUUCAGUUAGUCAGUGAAGUUGGUUCGUGAUUGCUCUGAAUUGUUUAUGAACCAAACCGGGAAAACACUUUGUACAACAGCUGAAGAAACAAGAAGUGGAAGAGUUCUGUACAUAGCUACCAGAACCGGUCUUUAUUAUCCAAAUAAAAUAAAAACCAUUUAAAAUAUAACGCAAGCACGUCAACAUAUGUAUAUGUGAACAUGUCUAAGUUACAUUUUUUUGUGUAAUCUAAGUUGCAUAUUCCUAGAAUGUUCAUGAUGCAUCAUCGGUGGCGGAUCUAGAAAAUAUUUUGAGUGGAAACAAAAUAAAAAUAUUUAACCAAUUAAAUAAUAUAUAUUUUUGUUUGGCUAUGAUAUAUUUAAAAUAAACUAAUAAUAUGGUAAAGGAAAGUUUUAUAUAUAAUUUAAGGAAAGAGAAUGAAACCAACUACCUCUUUGUUUUAGAAAAAAAAAUAUUUAAUACAAACUAAAACGAUACGUGAGGGAAAAGGAAAGGAAAAUGGGCAAAUUAGAGGGGGCUGGUGGGCGCUGAACUGAGGUUUGAUGGGGGCAGUAAACGGACUGGAACCAACCAAGCUGCAGAAAAUUACAUAUUUCCUACGCACAUAAUCUUACAUGUAUGUUUUACUGGGGGCAGCUGCCCCCUUUUCAUACCACGUAGAUCCGCCCAUGUGCAUCAUUGGUUUUUCCUAUUUCAGAAUCAUCGUAGACCAUAUAGGAACAGUGCCGGUCUUGUGUUUCAUGGCGCCUAAAACGAACCAACAAAAUAAUACUCUCUAAAAACAAUAUAUAUAUAUAUAUAUAUAUUUUAACUUUUAGCUUUCUAAGCUAAAAAAAAUUAGAGUUUUUCAUCAUGUAGAAAUUUCAUUAAAAACUAAUAGUUGAUCUAAAAAAAAUUUUUUUUUACAACUUUCUCUGCAUUAAGCAUGUUACUAGAUAAUAACAUUGGUUUUAGAUAAGUUUCAAAAAAGAAAAAAACAUUGGUUUUAGAUUACUCUAGUUCGUCUUGUAGCCACUUAACUGAGGUUUUUUUUGUCAACCACUUAACUGACUUAUUAUUUUGUUCCCAAUAACACUUUCUAAAAUGCAUGAAAAUGAUAAUAAUGUUAUAAUUACUUAAAAUGAAAAAAAUCUGGUAAGUACAACACAAGAGAACAUCAUUUAGAAAUUGGUUUAGUUUGUAAUCUUCAAAUUUUCAAAGUUCUGAGAGAGAGUAUUUGAAUCCAAAAAGAAAUUUCAUGUUUGUUCUUAGUUUUUAAAGAUACAAAAAGUAGGUGAAAAAGAAGAUAAUUAGUCGAAAGAAAAAAAUGCAUGAGUUUAGAAAAAGAAAUUAGAUUUUUUCUUUUAGUUGGUUUGUUUAAUUAUGCAUGUCUACGAUAUAAGAUUUUUUUAAUAUUGAUAAAAAAAAUGAGAAUCUUUAAUAAAUUAUAUAAACAUUGAAACUAAGAUUGUCAAUAAAGGAAUGAAAACCUGUCAGAUUCUUUAAGUUAUUUUCAAAAUGAAUAUAACAAAGAAGGUUUUCAAAAAAGAAAAAAAAAAGAAAGCAAACUCAAGAAUCGAACAUUAUGCAAUGCCAUAAGGAAAACAAGUGAAGCAUUAACCACCGGACCAAUGAAAAAUAUAUGUUACUAGUUUGGCGCCCCUAGAAUAUAUACAUAUUUUGGCGCCGAAAGCCCAAGCUUUACGGGCUUUAGCCCAGGGCCGGCUCUGUAUAGGAACAUGUGUUCCAUCCAUUACACAUAUACACCCCUUGAAGUUUGAUCCAUAAUGUCUAUCUGACUGCAACUUUCGAUGGACUUGAGUGAGAUUUGUGGAUCCGGCUUAAACAUAUCUAUUUUCCAUAAGUUUCAUGAUAUCAAGAACUUCAUGAAACUUUCUAAAUAUGCUCUUUUGGCGAGUGUCCAAACAUUCUCAUGACGUUUUUCUGAGUGUCCAAACUUUCUAAACAUUCUCAUGACGCUUAAAAUCCUCUUACUCUUAACGAGGUUUGAAUAAAACAAAUCUUUUACAUUUUAUAGUUGCAUAUCUAUGAGUAAUCUAGUUAUAUAUUAUCUCAUUUCUAAUGUUAAAAACCAGAUUUUAGUUGCAAUUGUUGCGUUUCUUUUUUUUGUUAUCGACUUGUUGUGACCAUUGUAAUUUAAUAUACUACUAGGAGAGGAUCCGUACUUUGCGCGGAUUGAGUUUAUAAAUCUAUACAUUGGGCCGAGACCAUUUAUAAUUAUAAUUGUGGACCAAAAUUUGUUUUGAAUUUAUCAUGGACUUCACAGAUUUGGGAUUAAGAAAAAAAUAAACCUCCAACAAUCAGUUUUUUCACUGAAGCAUAAAUUUUAUCUGAGACAUGAAUUUUAUCACUCUAUUUAUAUAAAAAAAAAUCUAAAAAUAUCGUCAGCAAGUUGAGUAAUCAAAAUAGCGGGUUCUACAAAUUUUUAAAAAAAUCUAUAUCUCUAUAUUUUAACAUCUUUGAGAACCAUCUCAAUGGUUUAACCAUCGACAGCUGAAAUAUUGUUUCCACAGUCGAAUAAUUUUCACCCUAAUUUUCCACAUGGUUUUAGACGAUCAAGUUGAUACAUGCCUUAGUCGUAUGCUUAAGAGAUACUUUUGAAAUUUUAUGAUAUUUUUAUGGAGCACUCGACAGUGUAUACAAAUGUGAUAGUUAGGUUAACAGAUUGUUAACCUACAUUAAAAAUAUUAUGUUUAUCGUGAAACAUUAUGCAAAAUUACUAUAUAUAUUUUCCUUAACUACCAUAAAAACAUUAGGCAACUUUUUUCUUGGUGACAAAGUAUUUUAUACACUUCAAUUAUCCUUACCAAAUAUUACUUCUGAAAAAUUGUGUAUCAAGCAUACAUAUUACUUCUGAUAUAUCAGUUUAAAGAACUUCCAUGUUUUUAAUUUCUUUCUGCUACUAACGAAUCGAUAAAUAUAACUUACCAAAUGAGCCUGAUUCUCAAUUUUUUGUUAACACGUAAUUUAUGUUUUUUUAUUGCCGUCUAACCAUCACAUGUAGGCUUUGGUACAAUUGAAUUAAAUGACAUUACACCAACAUCAAUUGUAGACAAACCGAAAGAGUAGUGGUUUGUAAACUGGAUUUGUUCUGUGUGACAAGUUCCCUUUUUUCACUUCCUCCUUUUACUAACUUGUCCUCAAAACUUCUAAUUUACUAUAUUUUAGCCCAAACUUUUUCUCUACUAAAUGAGACCUCGCUAAAACCCCUCAACGAGUUCAUGCACAAUACAAAUCGACCCAGAUUAUUUAAAAUCAUAUUAUUCUAAUCUUCUAAACAAGAAUUUUCGAAGAUUUUGUACUACAACUUGCGUUCAUAUAUGCACAAAGGCAGAGACAUAAGAAGGUCAGACAUAAAACUAACAAAAUAUGGCGCCGUCAAAGAAAGCAGGCCAGAGUCUAACUUGGUGGCGGAUUUUUGUAUAGAGGAGUUCCCAUCCUGCACAGCUAUAGAUGCCGUUGUCUGCGAACAGUUUGUUGUAUUCAUUCCCCUGUCCCUGGAUAUCUACAUUUACAUGUGUUGACCACAGUUAGAACAACGAUGCUAUAUAACUUGGGACUCUACCUCACUCCCUAAGAAGGUAAGAUAUUCAUUGGUCCUUCAACCACAGAGAACUUUCUACUACUGCUUAUUGUUGUUAAUGUAAGAGAACCAAGAAGGAAUAAUGCAUAACAAAUCAAGACACAAGAGUGAUAUGCAUUGUCAUGUCGCACAGAAAAAAAAAGAGAGUAAGGUUCAUAGCAACUAAGACGAUCAGAACAGAGUUAUAAUGUGAAAAGGAAAAAAAGGUGACAGCUUUGAAAAUUCUACUACAAGUUCUUCAGCUUAUUACAGUAAUAAUGCUAGAGAACCGAGUAUUCAUAACUACUUGCGUAUAAAAUGCCAAUCACUCAUUUUGACUAGAAAUAAUUAUUCAAGUAUCUUUUCAUAAUUUUACCCCAAAAAAAGUCUUAUUAUUCAUUAACUUGAAAAUAUCACAUGUUUAUCAUUUACUUCAAUACAAGCCGUGAAUAGAUCGCCAGAGUUCGAAUCCUCGCGCCGGAUCUCGCAUCGAUCCUUCCACGAUACGACGUGGAGUCUGCCGAACCAUAUCUUAUCGGACUGAAGCCAUUCGCCACACUUGUAUCCCACAGAUGUGGUUCGAUCCUGGAGACCUCACGUAACACGAGAAGUGUAUGCUUGAAUGUCUCCUCCUCCUUUUCUUCUUCCUCGAACGACAUCGAAGGAAGACGUAUGUGAAGCUGUUACCAUUUUUAUUUCAAUUUUUAAUAUGAAAGUAAUAACAAAUUCCAAUAUCUUUUCUUUUUGUUAAUUUAUGCAAUUGUACAAAAAAAAGAAAAGGGAAGACACAAUAUCAAUAUUUAUUAUUUCAUAGUAUUGUACACCUUAUUAUGCCAAAACACCAGCAACAAUUUAUUAAAUCUUUUUUUAUUUUUCUAUGACAAAAGCAUAAUAUUAUUAGUAGAUAUUAUUUGAGUUUCAAUGUAGAUAAAUAAUCAGCAAUGAUAACAUAUGCAUAGCAUUCGUUUUUCGCCAGAAGGCCCAUUUUCGCAAGCAGCACUUGGCGCUAGUUUAUUCAGUUUGAGACAAUAGGCUUUACACUUAUUGGCAUCGCAUGGAUUACUUUUGUUUCGUAAAAUUUCACCACAUUUUCUGUCACCUUUUGCUGUCGAAAUCGUCGUUUCUCCUGUUAUUAUAAUAACUAAAAUAUAACCUUAGUUUUCAUAUUUAAAAUAAAAAAUCAAUUUUUGUAAAAUAUAUGUUUAGAGUUUUUAUGCAUAUUUAUAUUAAAAAAAUUGAAAGUCUAAAUAUCUUCUUUUUUAAUCUUUCAUUAUUCUUGAAAAAUCAUUAAACUCAAUAAUAUAGAAUUAAACAUAUAAUCUAUGUAGUUACCCUUAGUGAGUUUAUAUUUAUAAUUUAUUAUGUAAUUAAAAAUAAAAAAAUAUUUUAAAAUAAUGAUAAUUCUUAUCUAUAUUGGGUUAUUAUCUGGAAAAUGAUAUUUAUAUUAUAAAAUUUAAUAUAUUAAGAUACAAAAAAAUCAAACAAAAAUAUUUGUAUAAAGAUAUUUUCUAAACUAUUUCUAAUAUAUGAGUGUUUUCCAUUUGUAUAAACAUAUAUAUUUUGAUGAAAAACUAGUAUAUAUAAAUAAUUUGAUUUUUAAACUUUUCGAGAACAUUUAAAUUAAUAAAAGAUAAACUAAUAAGUAUUUGUACAAAGAUUAUGUCUUUAUGUGCGGGUAAAACACCUAGUAUAAAAUAAAUGAUAGCAAAUAAAUUUAUUUUUUAAUGAUUAUUCAAUAUUAUUAAUAAAGCAAUAAAUGUAAAUACAAACCGAGCAGAAGAAUUGUGAGCAUAAAGAAACCAAUAAACCAAGGUUUGAAAGUAACUUUCAUCUUCGAUAAUGAAAUAAUGGUGUUUCAAAAAAAGACAAAGAAGUAUAUUUAUAACUGAAUCACAAAUUGAAACAUGUCUAAUUUAAGUAUACAUCUUUUUAAAUUCCGAUAUAAAAGGAUAUAGUUUGACCAAAAAAUCACAAUCACUGAUUUUUUAUUUAUUUAAUAAAAAAUUAACUUAUUUAUAUUUAACUUUAUUUAAAAUAUUUUUGAUAUGCAUAAACAAUCAUAUUCGUUUUACUCUUAGAUUCAGAAUUUAUGUAAUGUAUAUUUAGAAAAAAAACAUAAAGAUAAUUGAGAAAUUGCAAUUUGAUCUAAUCUUACAAUACUAAAAGAGGAUAUGAGCUUCAUUGAACCUAUCCAUAUAUGCAUGAAAAAUCAACCAAUGAGAAACCUUCUUUUUGCCACGCUACUUGCUUUGUCAACUAAAAAAUCAAAUUAGGCGUUCGUAGUUCCAAAAAUUUAACUCUGGCCCAAAUUUACUUUAUCACUAGAAAUCCACCAUUCAUCCAAUCGCCUUCUUCGCCUCUCCACCUUCUUUUUCUUUUUAAUCAAAUUUAGCUUUUCCACCUUCUCUGAACCUCCUUUGGAACGUCACCUUUCCACAUUGAUAAAUCUUAAAGCCCCCUUAUUAUCUGAAACAAUAAAUGUCUAUUCAACUCUUGCCAUUCCCUAAAACUUAUAGCUACAUAUAUUUCUUUUCCAAAUCUCUGCGCUUCGACUAAUUCUCCACAACAAAAUCAUCAGGGAGUGGAAAUCAGUCGCAACUGUUCCUGCCGAUUUACAAUCUCAGGUUGGAUAGUUUUCAUAUAAAAGGGUCUUUUCUUCCGGAGAAGAAUCAAACGUUUCUUUUUCAGAGGUAGUACCACGAAAUUGGAGACUCAGUUUAAUUUUACGGCUUCAAAUUGCAGUCUGAGGUCCGGUGAACCUUAUUCAGUAAUGAUCUUCUUGCUAAGACAAUAUCCAUAUUAUAAUUUUGUUUGAUUUUGGGUUAUCUAUGUUCCUCAGGCCUGCUAUUUUCUUUAUGCUGAAAUAUUUGUUUUCCUGCGAUAUAUUGUUGUCUGAAAUAGAAAACUUCACGGAUGCGGUUGGGAGUCCAUUCUCCGUUUCGGCUGAAGUUUUGACCAAGGACUACGAUCCAGAAUCACUUAUUUGGAGCGAUGAUUGAAAUGCCACUCUGGCUCCAGCUUCGGUUUGGGAUGUAAGAUUGUUACUUUCACAAACUUUUAUGUGCUUUAUAAUGGUUUUCUCAUGUAUGUUAUCAAUCUAAAUAGAAACGUAAGAAGAAAUCUUUGUCUGAAAGGCUUAAUAUCUGAUAAGAAAGAUGCUCGAGAGAGACCCAAAUGAAGUCUUAAUGCUCAACAAGUCUUGCGUAAGUAGGAUUAUGAACUCCAUAGCUUAAGAAGAUAUGUAACUUAAUCUUGGUUUAUUUAGUUUUUUGUCAGGCCUUCCAUCGAUAAGGGACACACCGUCAUGAGUCGCUUGAAGAAGUUUUCAGCUAACCGUCUAUGAUAAACCAAAGUAACACAAACCAAAUUAUCAUAAUUGGAACUGUGUGAACGUUUUUUUUUGGGAUUAGUCUUUGAUAUUGGAGUUUUAAUUAGUGUUUUUGUGAAAACAAGUGUUUGAUUUAAAGUUUAUUUAUUUUUUAUUCUGGAUCGAAUAGGUUUUUCACACAAUAUUUGUCCGGUCUCAUAUUUUCUUAACUAUUGUUUUUAGCUAUUAUAAUGUGCUAUGGUAUUUGUUUUAUAGUUUGCAGGGGGUGACGACACCGUUGGUUGGGUUCUUGGAUGUCUUGGAGAGUUUAACAAAGAAAAAACAUCACCAAUUACUCAUGUUGACAUUAUCACUCUCUGUCAAGGAGUUUUGGUUGGUUAAGUGAAUCGUUCUUCUCUCUUGUGUCAUCAUCACCAGUCUUUUAACAAAUUACCUUUAGAGAUUGUUUUUUUUCCUCUUCAAAAAAUAGUGAUAUAUUGGUUUAAAAGCUAUCCUCAGUUGUGCAACCCACACUUUGGUAAAAUGCAUAACAACUGCAUCUUUGUAAACUCUCUCUAUUGAGCCAGUGAUCGAACAGUCCUUGCUAACAAAGGAACAUAAUGAGGUUUUAGAGUACCCACAAGUUAUCAACGUCAUGAAUGUGCUAUAUAUAUAUUUUAUUUACAAAUAUGAACAUAGGGCAAUUUGAUUUUUCCGGAAUGCUAUCUUUCAGCUGUUACUAUAAGAUGAAGCAAAAAUUUGAUCCCCAACAUGUCAAUGAGAUGUUUAAGAAUCAGUUUAUAUAGUUAUGAAUUAACCAUUGGAGACUAUAUAUUUUGAGAUAGCCAUAGUAUCAAAUAAAAUACAUUCACACUUUGAUUAGUUACAUCUUUAAUUUUGUGUGAUUUCGUAGCCAACUUUUGUUUUUCUCUGUAAUUUAUUGGCCAAAUUUUAUCUUAAAUUUGAUCUAAAUUUUAAAGAAAUCAUAUUUGAAAAUAAAAAUAAUUUCACAUAAAAAUUAAAUUAGAAUCAUAAAAAUGUGUGGCUUGUGGUGUGUACCAUUGAAGCAAAUCAAUCAUAUAGUAUUAAAUUAAAAAUAUUUUUAUGGUUUUUGAUUACGCUCAGAAAACGUUCAUAUUAAAACCUCCUACAUAUUUUACCCUUUUUAAUUAAAAAUCCUUAAUUACAAAAUAAUAAAUACUAAAAAAUAAAUGUUGAAAAUAAAAUAUAGUUUCAAAAUUUUAAAUAUUUAUUAAAUCAUUGUGUUAUUGGUCAUCAAAAUUUACAGAUUUAAGUAUUCAAAAUGAUUACAAAUGCAGUGUGUGUAUAUGUAUAUGAAAUGAAGGUUAAACAUGAUUACAAAAAGAUUAAUAGAAACUUUAAUUAUGUUUACAUCUAAAAUAUAUAUUAGUAUAUAAAUUAAUGAUAUUUUAAACAUAAAAUUAUUAUCUUUCAAAACAUUUCAUUUUAAUUUGUCAAAUACUAUGUCAAAAAAUUAAUGAUAAUCAAUCUUUAUAUUUAAGUUUAACUUUAAAAUAUAUAUAAAUUUUAUAAACAACAAACCGCGCGUAGCGCGGUAAAACCUCUAGUAAUGUUAAAAAGACAAUUUCAGCUGAUAAGUAUAAAUAAAAUUUUCUAGAAAAGUAGAAAUAUAAUUUUGAAAUGAAAUAUAAAAAGAGAAAGAGAAAGGGAAAGGAAAAAGCCAAAGAUCGUCAAUGCUAUCCCCUAGACUAUAUUUGAGAAGUGAUUUUGCCAUAUCUCUUCUUUACAAUCAAUUUCACAAAACAAAUAUGACAUGGCUACUGAAAUUGAUGACAUGGCUUCCAGAAAAAUAUGACAUGGAUAAUUUCAUUUAAUGUUGAUUUAUAUUUUUGGCAAACUUAUCAGAAUAUGGUAAUAAUUCAUAUAUUACAUUUAAUAUUGAUAUUUGUUUUUGGUAAACUUUUUUUUUUAAAUAUGGUAAUAGCUCAUACAUUAUCUAUAAAAUAAAUAUAUUCAUAUAUGAUAUUUCAAAUUUCAAAAUAUUAUUAUUUUUGUAUAAUUAUAUAAUUUGUAUUACUAAAGCUUUCAAAAAUUUCUACUAUUUUUAAAAAAUUUAAAUAUCUAACCGUAAGAUCAUUAGUUUUUUAUAUACCUAAAAGUUUUAUAAAUAUUGUUUAGGCUAAAUUUUUGAUAAUUAUACAAGAUUAUAUCAUUUUAUUAAUUUUAUACAAAUUGAUUUAAUAUAUAUCAAAUCUAUAUUAAAUAUUAGUAAAAAAGUAGUAAAAUUUAUAAUAUAUAAUAAAAUUUAUUUUUAAAUAUAAAUUUGAUUUAAAAAAUUCAUUACUGCACAUAGUGCUGGAAAACAGCUAGUGUGAUUAUAAUUCCAAGGAGGAUGCUGGAGAUGGCAAGAAGGAAAAAGACAAAGGCGGUGCCAAGAAGAAAAAGAACGAAAGCGAGUACAAGAAAGGGUUAAGACCUGUGUUGUGGUUAACCCCUGACUUCCCUCUUAAGACGGAAGAGGUUCUUCCGCUGCUCGAUAUAUU